rnacentral:lncRNA from 1 species
UGAUUUGCUGUCGAAUGUUCAGUCUGUGGAAUUUGCUCUGACUGUAUGUCUUUUGUCGUUUGGUUACUGUGAAGCAGCCGGCCAGGCUAUUGCUCUCUGAAUAAACUAUUAGCUCUAGGUGGUUUGCUGCGUCUGCCACAAUGAGCAUACUGUUUGGGGAAAAGUUGUCUCAACUUAUAAAUAAGCAUUUUUUUUCUAGGACGAGUGUCACUUUGUUAUUACUACUGAAUUCCUUUCUGCCUGUAUCAUAUUCAUAUUCUGUAAUUGGAGUUACUAGAUGCCAAGUUUUGCUCCAUUAGUCAUGUUAUAUUACUUGCAGUGUGUUGGCAAGCGACCAAUGUUCUGAUCAUCUCGUAGGCGCAUGAAUAACGAACUGCGCGUGGAAUACAUGCUCGAAUCAUUCUUUUGUUUGAUUGAAGAGGCCUAUUUGAUUCUUCAUCCUUAUCUUCUGUGUUUCUGAGCUUAUCUUCUGCAUUUCUGAUUCUUGCAACCACUCCAAUAAUUCAGCAUGGCGGCUCGGUGCCUCAAUAAUUCAUUCAAGGUGUCCGUGCCGGCCUCGUGAGUUAUUGGGUGUAGUAGUAACAUUUUUCGCUUCGUUCUUUUGACAAACGGAGGUUCGUUCUUGCGUGUGCCGGUGUGCGUAUCUAAUCUUGGCGUAAAAAGUGAAGAGCAGCAACCAAGUUGCUCCGUAUCUAAUCUUUUGGGAUGCACCGGAUUGAUGGAUGACGGCGUGACCCGUCGCGGAGAUAUGUGCGAGGGCGACGGCUCCCCGAACCGAUUGUCGGGUACUCAUCGUUUUAUCACGUGAUGACGACUGAACUUAGGCUUGCCGAUAGAUAUGCCGCAAUGUUUUUUACAACCAAGCCGUCUUGUUUCUCGCCGGCCAAGUGAACAAAAAAGGCCGGCCACACGAGGGAGGGAGGCAUCUCCCUUGGCAUAUUCGACAAUUUCUUUUUUACCGACCAAAGAAAUUUCGCUCUUCCUUCUCUCGUUCUCUUUGGCAGAAACGUACGCGGCUGAUGUUUUGUCUCCGCUACGUGCUGUCGCUGUUACACCGAAAAUUUGCGUUGUGAUGAUGUAUGUGAUCCCAACAGGAGUUCGCCGACGCGAUUACUUGGCCCCCCGCCAUCACCAUGAUAUGCUGCGUCCGCAAGAUAGCCGCGGAAUAUGUUCGCCGUCCAGCCAUUGAUCCAUAUCUCCUCCUCCCAACCGCGGAGAUAGAAAGAGCGAGAGAGAUUCCACAGCCUCCUUGCAACCGCAUCGAAUUCCAAAACGCUUUGACCGACGCCGAGAGAUGCUCCGAGGAUUUGUUCUGCGCCGCCGCGGCCACCCCUUUGUUGCCAGGAAACGCGGAGCCUCCCCCGUCCGGCCUCCAGAAACCCGUCCCGGCCGGACGCGUGUAGAUAGAUAGAUGCACCGAGCCGAACUCCCGUCUCGUCUUCUCCACAUACGUUGGACAGGGAAUCAGGGGUUGCGUGGCUGGGCCGGGGAUUGAGUGCUUGGCUCGCACGCUCCGCCGAUGGCUCGGCUCGGCCGUGCAUGUUCCUCUGGCGUGUCCGUGACGCAGACCGGAACCGGAAGCAAGUGGCCAGGAACAAGGCGGAGGCAGCGCCUGCUAGCCCGGAAGUUGCCUGCAAGUUUAGCUCCGUGAGUCCGUGAGUGGACGUGGAAUCCGAACCCCCAUGAUCACUCACCAGCUUCUCCUAUGCUACUGUAUGCAACUGUUUGAUUCGGCUGGGCUUUGCUUGGGCACUGUUUUAUUUCUAUCAGAGGAGGUUAUUUUCAUGCUGUGUUUUUUUACGGGGAGGCAAACUUUAUUAACCGUAUGACCGUUACGUCGUCCGCUAACAGUUUAACAAUGAAAUUCGGCGGGGCAUCAACCGAAAGAGAUGGAUUUUUAUCACGUCCCCAUCUAACAAAUUCAUGAGCUAUAAAAUUUGACUCUAAUACAAUGCUCAACCAUCACCUUCCCAAAAUCUAGUAAAAUACUACGACAAUCGUCAAGCAACAGCGCUGCAGCCAUAGAAUGACCUUCGUUGAAGUUUAUGGCGUCAACUACUGUACUAUUUUAUUUCUAUCAGAGGAGGUAUUUUUCAUGCUGUGUGUGGCGGAGGAGAUUGCACAAAUCAUCAACUUCUGGUGUUGAUUUUGCAUAGAGCACCUAUUUAUGGAUUUGUUGCACGGAACACCAUAUAUUGGUGUAAUCCAUUGCAAUUGGGUCUAAUUCAGCAUUUAGGUAUGUUGAUGAGAUUUAUUUUACGAGUGGGCCUUGCUCGUAAGUGCACACGUGGAAAAUAAAAUCGGUCACAUGAACCAGAAGGUCAAACUAGGAAAUUCCGGUCGCAGUUUUAAUUGGCCCAUUCAGUUUUUUUACUCAAAAUUUCACAUUUUCAGAAAAAUGCAACAAAAUUCAGUAAAUCUAGUACAAUUCUGAGAAAAGCAACUUAUUAGUUGUUCCAUUCGAACUUUGAUUCAAAAAUUCGACAUUGUAAAAAAGGUCAAAAAUCUAGUAAACCGUUAAUAUAGCCAACACUAAGCUGGGAAUAUUUCAACUCAUUGCACUAGAUGUCUGGGUGAUACAGUUUUAGUUAGCUCGUUCAUUUUUUUUGAUUCAAAGUAUUACAUUUCUGAACAAGUGUAGAUUUUUUUAGUAAAUCGUGCGUGUACACAAUACUAAUCUAGAAAAAUUUAAGCUUAGUUGGACCAAACGUUUGGGAGAUAUUGAAAGUUUUAGUUGCGCGGUUGUCGGCUGAUUUUUUUCACGGGUGUACUUAAAAGUGAGGCCCACACAUCACAUCAACGUAUCUAAACGCUGAGCAAGACUGGAACAACAAUUCCGCGCGAGUUCUCUCUCCUAGGGCUCCUGUGACCCACGGGCGAUAGGCGGUUCCUAGGGUUAGAUCACUGAAUGGGCAUGUGUCUUCGAAUCCUAGAUCCGAUUCCUCCCCUCCCGUCCGCCUAUCUCUCUGCCGCAUCUAGACGUAGGCGAUUCCUCUCCUUGCCGUUGUUUGGGGUAAUUCAGGGGUGCUCUUUGGACCGCUACCCACCCUUGGCAGCGUCGGGCUGGGGACUUGCCGACCUCUCGAUGGCGGGGACACGCGAUGGGAUGGGGUCUGAUGGCAGUAUGGGCGCUCCUCGUUUGCUAGGCGGCGGCGGUGACUUCUCCACGACGGCGCCGUCCGGCAAGGGGAAAGCGGCAGAGGUGGAUGGGUUGUCUUCUUUGGGAGCCGGCUCGGCCUUUGCCGAUCGGGUUGAGGACCUGACGGAGAAACUGCGUCUGACUGCGGUUGAGGCGUAACCGGUGAUUCUGGACGAUGAAGAUGAGGUCGAUCUGGUGGCCCCGGAUUGUGCCCUGGUGGGGAAGGUGUUGUCCCCCAAUCUUCUUCAUAUCCAGACGAUCUCAUCGGCAAUGCGGCUGGCGUGGGGUAACCCUAGAGGUUUGUUGUUCCACCCCUCGGGGGACAAUGUCUUUGUGGCUGAAUUUGGUUCCCAGGCCGAUCGUGCCCGGGUGAUCGAGGGCUCGCCAUGGAAGGUGGGCAAGCAUGCAGUGUUGCUAAAGGUUUUUGAUCUGAAUACUUUGCCGUCUCAAGUUCAAUUUGACCACUUGGCGCUUUGGGCUCAUAUUAUGCAUGUUCCUCUGAGGCUUAUGAAGGCCAAACUAGGAAUGGAAUUUGCCAAGCCGAUUGGGAGGAUUCACAAGGUGGAUUCGGAUGCGGAUGGUCGCUGCUGGGGGAGUUUCAUGAGGGUGAGGGCUGAAAUUGCAGUCCAGGAACCAGUGGUUCGUUAUGUUACGGUGACCUCUCUCAAGCUGAAAAGGACGGAGACUUUCUCUGUUGUGUACGAGAGACUGCCUUUUUAUUGCUUAUCUUGUGGCCUCCUUGGUCACUCCUUGGUUCUGUGCCCAAAUCCAGCGACAAGGGACGGGAAUGGUGACCUACCAUAUGCGGCGGAGAAGCUUUGUGUUGCUAAUGAUCAUUUGAAAAGAUCUGGAGGCUCUAGGUCCAACUCGGCCCCUUCUUCGGCUGCGGGUAUUGGCUCGUCUAGGAAUGUUCGAUCGGGUGACCCUGGUCAGGAUAGGGCUGCUGCUCAAGGGGGUCCGGGUGCCUCUGAAGGUGAGGUUUCCUCUCCCAACAGACGUGGUGGCUCUACUCAUGGUCGGGGGAGGUCCAACCGUGGCAGAGGAAGAGAUCGCACCGGUGAUUCGGGGCGUGAGCUUUUAUCCUUCAACUCAGAAUAGCAAGUCCAACACAGCGGGACGGAAAAGGAAGUUAGCCAAAGCCCAUGCCUCCUCUCCGCUUCAAGGCCAGGGGGAUGAUAAUGCCUUAGCCCUUGUUGUUGUGCCAGGAGAGCCUGUGGGUACUGCAGAUGAUGUACAUAAUUCUGAUAUGGAUUCCAAUAAGAAGCAAUAUGUUUCAAACAACCAAUCAGCGGAUCCGGCGCAGCCCCGCUAGACGCAGUGACUAUCUUAUGUUGGAGCUGUCGAGGUUUGGGGUUGGACUCGACAGUUGGCGAGCUUCGCUGGCUUGUGAAGCUACACCGACCCUCCCUCCUCUUUCUGUCUGAAACGAAGAUGAGGGACACCCGUGUGAAGAAUUUUAUGUGGUCUCUAGGGUUUUCUGGUUGCUAUGUUGUUAGUUUUGUGGGACUCAGCGGUGGCCUUGCUUUGUUCUGGAAGGCCUCGACAAAGGUUACUGUGAAGGCUGCCAAUAAGCGUUUCAUUGAUGUUCAUGUGAAGAUUGAUGAGGGGGUGGCCUGGCGUGCCACCUUUGUGUAUGGGGAGCCAAGGAGAGAAGAUAUGUAUCUGUUUUGGGAGCUCCUCAAACGAUUACAUCCAUUGUGGGAUGGACCGUGGUUAUGUUGUGGAGACUUCAACGAGGUCUUGGCUAAGGACGAACAUUGUGGCCCUUGAGAUCGGUCUGAAUCUCAAAUCAUAGCUUUCCGGGAUUGCUUGAUGGAUUGUUGCUUGACUGAUCUGGGCUUCUCUGGACCGAAGUUAACUUGGAGCAAUAAACAAGACCCGAAUUGUCAUGUUAAGUGUCGCCUGGAUAGAGCUAUGGCGAAUGGAGCUUUUUCUAGUCUGUUUGAUGGAUGCGGGGUGGAGAAUCUUAUUGCAACUUCUUUGGAUCACUACCCCAUGCUGGUCCUGCUAGGUGGCAGUACCCAACAACCUCGUCCGGCUCCGGUCCAGCAGGGCUUCCUCUUUGAAGAGAUGUGGCUUUGGGCUGAUGAUUACAAAGAAACUCUUGAGCAAGCGUGGGAUGAGGGGAGGGAUGGCUAUCCUUCUCUCCGGCCAACUUGGGCCAAUCGCAAGCAUGUGGCUGGCUCUUUGCGCUCCUGGAGCAAGGAGGCCUUCGUUUUAUCCGGAAGCGGAUUGGGCGUCUGGAGCGCCGUAUUGCUACCAUUAGGGCUUCACAGCCCUCUCCUUCCUUGAUGGAGGAGGAAUGCUCGAUUGAGGGUCAACUCUGUGAGCUAUUCGAGAGGGAAAAAUAAUGGAGCGGCAGCGUUCCCGCGUUGAUUGGUUGAAGGCUGGGGGACCGCAACACAGACUUCUUCUAUGCUAGAGCUUCGGCGUGCAGACGUACAAAUCAGAUCCACUCUCUUGUGCGCGAAGACGGUUCCAGCUGCAACUCUCAGGCGGGAAUCAAAGGUGUGGUCCAAGGGUUCUAUGACAAGUUAUUUUCUCUGAACCUUGCAGCGCAGCUGUCACGCCCAAGAUGCGACCCUAUCCUAAAGGAACUGGAAGGUCCCACCAAGGAUAGAAGCGCAUCUUGAAGACGCUUUUGCAAGGUGGAUAUCAUUACAUCAACAUUACAUAAUAGAUGGAGAUACAUACAAAAGGCAAACAAUGCCACACAAGUACAACAUCACAAUACAUAAGAGCAUCAUCUGACUAUGAAUGAAACACAAACAGAAACUCAAACGACAUCCACCUGCCAGCCCAGGCUGCCGACCUGGAACCUAUCCCCUGAUCGAAGAAGAAGCAGAAGACAAAACUCCAAAACAAGCAAGCAUCGCUCUCGCGUCAAGAUCAUCAUAUAACCUGUACCUGCAACUGUUGUUGUAGUAAUCUGUGAGCCACGAGGACUCAGCAAUCCCAUUACCAUGGGUAUCAAGACUAGCAAAGCUUAAAGGGUAAGGAAGGGGUAAAGUGGUGAGGCUGCAGCAACGACUAAGCAUGAUAUGGCGGCUAACAUACGCAAAUAAGAGCGAGAAGAGAAGCAAAGGAAUGGUCGUGAAGCUAGCAAUGAUCAAGAGGUGAUCCUGAACUCCUACUUACGUCAAACAUAACCCAAAACCGUGUUCACUUCCCGGACUCCGCCGAAAAGAGACCAUCAUGGCUACACACACGGUUGAUGCGUUUUAAUUCGGAUCUGGUGUCAAGUUAUGUACAACCGGACAUUAACAAAUUCCCAUCCGCCGCAUAACCGCGGACACGGCUUUCGAACGUUUAUACCCUGCAGGGGUGCCCGAACUUAGCCCAUGAUAAGCUCUCACAGUCAACGAAGGAUAUUCCUUCUCCCGGGAAGACCCGAUCAGUCUCAAAAUCCCGGUUACAAGACAUUUCGACAAUGGUAAAACAAGACCAGCAAAGCCGCCCGAAUGUGCCGACAAAUCCUGAUAGGAGCUGCACAUAUCUCGUUCUCAGGGCACACCGGAUGAGCAGUCCGUACAACUAAAACCAGACCUCAAGUUUCCCUGAGGGGGCGCUGCAAAGGGCUCUGGUUCGGACCAGCACUUAGAGAAGCACUGGCCCGGGGGGGCUAAAAUAAAGAUGACCCUCGGGCUCCGGAAACCCAAAGGAAAAAGGGCUAGGUGAGGCAAAUGGUAAAACCAAGGUUGGGCCUUGCUGGAGGAGUUUUAUUCAAAACGAAUUGUCAAGGGGGUCCCAUAAAUCACCCAACCGCGUAAGGAACGCAAAAUCCGGGAACAUAACACCGGUAUGACGUAAACUAGGGCGGCAAGAGUGGAACAAAACACCAGGCAUAAGGCCGAGUCUUCCACCCUUUACCAAGUAUAUAGAUGCAUUAAUAAUAUAAGAGAUAUUGUGAUAUCCCAACAUAAUCCUGUCCAUCACGGGGCAAUCUUCAACUUCACCUGCAACUAACAACGCUAUAAGAGGGGCUGAUAAAAGCGGUAACAUAGCCAAACAACGGUUUGCUAGGAAGGGUGAAAAAGGUUAGAGGCUGACAUGGCAAUUUGGGAGGCUUGAAGAGCAAGUGAUAGGUAGCGCAGCAAGCGAUAGAACGAAGCAACUAGCAUAGCAAUGAUAGUAGUGAGAUCCAGGGUAGCAGUCAUCUUGCCUGAAAUCCCGCUAGGAAGAAGAACGAGUCCAUGAAGAAGAUGAAGCCACGAAGAUGAACCAAGCGUAGACGAACGAAUCCUCAUGAUCGCAACAAAACGGGAACUAUCGAGAAGAAGCACACAACAUGGUAAACACACCUCACAUAGACAAGACAUGAUGCACAACAAGCAUGAUGCAAGAGAAGACUACAUGAAGCUACUCAUGGCAAGAGAUGAUGCAAACAAGAGCAACACAUCAAGGCAAGUUUAAAUGAGGCCGGGAACAACAUAUAAAAAUUCCGGUAAGUCCUCAUAUGCAAAUUUCGAAAUUGGUCCAGAUCUGAAUAAACCUUAUGUUCAAGUUGUUAAACAGCAAGUUAAUAUGCACCAAGAUGAUCUACACGAGAUUCUAGUCAAGUUACAUAUAAAGUUCAUUUAGUUCGGAGCUACGCCCUAGAAGAUAUGAGCAAAACAAGUUAAACAUGGCAUUGAUGCAAAAUGCAUACAAACAUCAAGCAAAGACUCUCAAAACAUGGAUGCAACAUGAUAAUAUGAAGCUACAUGCAAUUUUAAGCAAGUUUCAUAUAGAGCACACUCAAAACGGAGCAACGGUUCAACACAUACACCCUAUACAAGUUAUAGCAACAAUCUGUCCAAAACAGCAACUAGGCAUCUAGAAAGCAUCAAAACAAUAUGAUACAGCAACUCAACAUGAUAACAAAAGGCAUGGGAAUGAUGUACAGGUAAAGCAUAACAAAACAUGAACACUGUGCUAUCUCCAGAAAUCACUAGAACAUGCUCAAAAAGACAUGGCAAGAUUGCAAAUAAUAACAGUUUACAGGCUUAGCAGAAAUAACAUCAGGUUGCAAUGUUCAGAGCUAUCAAACAACAUGCUACGGGAACUUAUCAUGGCAAACAAAGGCAUGGCAUGAAUCUACUAAUUGCAUAGAACAAAAGUCCUUUACUGACCAUGAGCCAAAAGGGCACAGAAAAUAUGAUGGCACCCAUGUAAACAUGGCAAAUGAUAUGACAGAUUCAAACAUGGCAGGAACAACGAUAAGUAGGCAUGUUGGUGAGCUUGUACCACUCACCACAGAGCAUUACAUGGCAUGAAAAGGCAACCAAUAGUAAGAAGACAUGUUUAUGAAGCUAAUGGCAAGAGCAAGUUCAUAGGGUGCAUGGAUCACUAGCAAAACACAUGGAAAAACUGAACUUAAAGUUAACAGACUGACAGCAAUAUUAUUUAGCAACUUUGGAGCAAGAAUACAACAAGCUAUAGCAGGCUAUAAAUGAAACCAGGGGCAAUUAUGGAUAGAUCAUGACAUGUAUAACAAAACAUCCUUAGUGAACAUCUCCAUAUUAUGCAUAGAAUGACUUGUAGAAGCAGGUUUACAUAGCAUCACCAAAUAACAGAUUCAGCCUAGCAAAAUAGCAACAACAAGUACCAUACUUCACAAGCUUGAUGCACUCACUACAAGACUCACAAAAAUACAUGGAUUGCACCCCUGUAAAGAUUGCAUGACAUAGCUCAAAACUCAUGUAGGACUCGUGCUCAUAAGAUGCACACACAAAAUGCAACAAAAAUGACAAAUCAGCAAGUUCCGUUAACAGACAGCAGUUAACAUCACAUAGCAUUCUUGCAACAAUGAUUCAGGCAUCAAGAUAAACUCAAACAAGCAUGGCACAAUGUAACAAAAUGAAUAGCAUCUCAUGAUGAACAUUUUGAUAUAUCACACGCACGAAACGGAGCUACAUGCACAGAGUUAUGAUGCAAUGAACAUGGGCACAAAAUGUUGAAAACUUAGGGACUUGGAAGAAUUUCGGGGUCAACCUCGAGCUGGAUCUGGAUCUCGGGGCUCGUCGCACGGACUUCGAGGCGGCCGGAGCUUCGCCGGAGACGGGGCCGGAGAGGAGGGAGAUGGCGGUCGGCGAGGGCGGGGCUACCGGAUCCGGGCGGCGCGGAUCCAUCCCGGCCGGAUCCAUGGCCGCCGGGGGCGGGGCGGGCGACGGCGCUCGGAGGCGGCGACGCGGAUCUGCAGCUCCGGCGAGGGAGGCGGGGCGGAACACNNNNNNNNNNNNNNNNNNNNNNNNNNNNNNNNNNNNNNNNNNNNNNNNNNNNNNNNNNNNNNNNNNNNNNNNNNNNNNNNNNNNNNNNNNNNNNNNNNNNNNNNNNNNNNNNNNNNNNNNNNNNNNNNNNNNNNNNNNNNNNNNNNNNNNNNNNNNNNNNNNNNNNNNNNNNNNNNNNNNNNNNNNNNNNNNNNNNNNNNNNNNNNNNNNNNNNNNNNNNNNNNNNNNNNNNNNNNNNNNNNNNNNNNNNNNNNNNNNNNNNNNNNNNNNNNNNNNNNNNNNNNNNNNNNNNNNNNNNNNNNNNNNNNNNNNNNNNNNNNNNNNNNNNNNNNNNNNNNNNNNNNNNNNNNNNNNNNNNNNNNNNNNNNNNNNNNNNNNNNNNNNNNNNNNNNNNNNNNNNNNNNNNNNNNNNNNNNNNNNNNNNNNNNNNNNNNNNNNNNNNNNNNNNNNNNNNNNNNNNNNNNNNNNNNNNNNNNNNNNNNNNNNNNNNNNNNNNNNNNCGGUAGACGGCUGCGGCGGCGCGACCAGUGGCGUGGCGCCAAGUGGCGCUGAGGAGGUGGCCGGCGGCGGAAUUUGAGGUGGAGGUGGCAGAGAUCCCGAGGAGGAGGGGGAUUGGCUGCGGCUGGGGUUAGGGAAGGGGUAGGAUGCCCAAAAUGGAAGGAGGAGGGGUUUAAAAUGGUAGGGGUUAGGGUUAGAGGGUGCUAAGGGGGGUUUUUGGAGCCAGAUCGGACGGUUCCGGACGCGAGGGGGGUAGGCUGGGCCUAGGAGGGGUUAGUGGGCUGUGCUAGAAAGGCCAGGGGAUGAAGCAGAGAAGAGAGAGAGAGAGAGUCCCGACAGUAGUUUCGGAGACCGAAACGUCCGACGAAUAUACCAGCUAUAUCGCGGUUAUAUAUUUAACGGUUGGGUAGUCAAACGAACUCCGAAUGCGACUAAAUUUGGCAGACGGCCUGUCUACACUAUAAUAAGACCGCACACCAACUCUCACCCCAUUCCGAGAACAUUUUUAUGCCACUUAUAAAAUAAUAUUUCGGAGGUGCUGCGGGCGCGUGCGAGUGUGGUCGGGCUCAGAACGGACAACGGAGAGAAACGAGGGAACCCGAAUGGAUGCAAGUUUGAAAAACAUGCAGAUGAAAUGCAGAUGAUGACAUGGAAAAAUGCAACACGCAAGCAAAUGACAUGGCAACGACGGUGAAUAACUGGCAGACACCUGGCGCAUCAAAUUCGGGGUGUUACAGCAGCCGAUCGUGUUUCUGAUGCAAUCCCUCAUAAGAUCACACCGGAGAUGAAUAAAGAUCUUUGCAGGUCGUACACUAAUGAGGAAAUUAAACUUGCUUUGUUCCAGAUGGACCCUACUAAAGCUCCCAGACCCGACGGAUUUCCGGCCCUCUUCUAUCAAACACAUUGGAACUUUCUGGAAGAGGAUAUUUGUCAAGCUGUCCGGGGUUUUCUUGAAGGCCGGCAAAUUCCUGAGGGUUUCUGUGACUCGGAGAUUGUUCUUAUUCCCAAGACAUCGAGACAGAAACACCUAAAGAACUUCCGCCCAAUUAGCCUUUGCAACGUGCUCUACAAAAUUGCUUCCAAGGUCCUUGCCAACCGUCUGAAAGUGUUGCUGCCUGUUGUGAUCUCUGAAAGUCGGAGUGCCUUUGUUCCUGGGAGAUUGAUCACUGACAAUACUUUGAUUUCUUAUGAGUGUCUUCAUACUAUUCGAAAGCAGCGGAUAAAGCAGCCCUUGUUUGCUCUAAAGAUAGACAUGAUGAAAGCAUAUGACCGGGUUGAAUGGAGCUAUUUGCAUGCCUGUCUAUCGAAGUUGGGCUUUGCUACUUCAUGGAUCGAUACCAUCAGGAGAUGUGUCACCAAUGUCUACUAUGCAGUCAGGGCUAAUGGUGAACUUACUAAUCCUGUGGUACCUUCACGGGGUAUCCGGCAAGGGGAUCCAAUAAGCCCCUACCUCUUCCUCUUGUGCACCGAGGGUUUGUCUAGUUUGCUGUUCCAAAAGGAGUGUUGUGGCGAGCUACAUGGGAUAAAAAACAGCCGACAAGGCCCUCCUAUCUCACACCUCCUAUUUGUAGACGAUAGCAUCUUCUUUGCUAAGGGUGAUCAGCGUAGUGUGGAUUCAUUGGAAUCGGUGCUGCACAUGUACUGUGAAGGGGUCAAGCAAUCAACAAAGAGAAAUCAUCUAUUUUCUUUGGUCGGAACUGUCCGGACAACGUUAAGGAUAGAGUGAAGAACCACUUGGGUAUCCAGAAUGAGACCUUUCAUGACUCAUAUCUUGGUAUGCCAACUGAGGUUGGUAACUCUCCAACAAGUACUUUCAAGUUUUUGACUGGCAAAAUAUCUUUGGUUGGGCUGACAGACCACUAUCUAGAGCUGGCAAUGAAACCUUGCUGAAAUCCAUCACUCAGGCCAUUCUGACCUUUGUUUCGAGUUGUUUUCAUCUUCCUGUCGCUACGUGUGAGAAGUUUAGGCAGACUGUGUCUAAUCAAUGGUGGGGCAGGGAGGGUGGAAGGAAAAAGAUGCAUUGGAGGUCCUGGGCAUGGCUAUCGACCCCGAAGUCCUUGGCAUGGGUUUCCGUGACAUGACCUUGUUCAACUAAGCUCUCUUGGGCAAACAGGGAUGGGGGUUACUGACCGAGCCUAACUCACUGUGUGCCCAUGUUUUGAAGGGUCAAUACUUCCCCAACAACGAUUUCUGGAAUGCCUCGGUACCAAGAUCUGCUUCUGCUACUUGGAGGGGCAUCAUUCAUGACAGUGAUCUAUUGAAGCGCGGGGUUCAGUGGGUGAUUGGUGAUGGUCGACACACACGCAUUCUAUCGGAUCACUGGAUCCCAUCCACUCCACCUGCCUUGGUUCAACCUCCCUCGCCGAUCCCAUCGACCGCGACAGUGCAUUGUCUUAUUGAUGAAGAAAGGGGGGCGUGGGAUGAAGAUUUUGUGCGAGCCUUCUUUCCUAAAAGGGUGGUAGAGGAUAUUCUUCUCGUUCAUGUUAACAGGAAUGACGGUACUAAUUUUGCUCGUUGGCCGUUCACGAGAUUGGGAGAGUACACCGUCAAGUCAACGUAUAAUUUGGCAAGAACUGAUCUUAUUAUAUCGAGCAGGAGUAACCGUGGGCUGGGUUUGAACUCACGUAUGGCUAAGGAUGAGAAGAUGUGGAAGGCUCUGUGGUGAAUCAAAGCCCCCAAUAAAAUGAAGAUUGUACUUUGGCGCCUCAAGCAUGAUUGUCUGCCUUCUGGUGACCAGCUUCGGAGGCGCCAGGUUCCAGCGAGAUCAGAUUAUUUCUUUGGUGGUCGGCUGGAAAGUGUUGAGCACGCGCUGCUAUUUUGCCCACAUGCUAGGGCUGUCUAGGACGGGGUCAAGGAGUUCUUCGAUGUUCACCUUCGCAGGUUGUCCUUCUCCACUCCAAAGCAAUGGCUGUUCGAAUUCCUGACUUUUUGCUCUAACUAGGAGGCGAAUGUUCUAAUGGUUUCCAUCUGGCACAUAUGGGAGGCUCGCAAUGCCGCAAGGAAUGAGCCCGUUGGUCCUCCUCCUAGGAGUACGGCUGCUAGAAUCAAGGCUUAUACAAACCUCAUUGUUUAGCAUCUCUUCAAUCCUGUACUUGCUCCCAGGCGUGAGACCUCUUCUUCUGUCCGUCUUUGGUCUCCGCCGCCGCAAGGUACUGGGGUGUUGUGUUCUCUGACGCCGUUGUUUGUGAUGAUCUGGGCAUUUCCAGCGUUGUUGUGGUGAUUCUCAACCAUGAGGGGAAUUGGGUGGCCGCGUGCUCUGAAUCUUUAAGGGGUGUGUGAUCACCGGAGUUGGCUGAAUCAAUGGCUCUCCGGCACGCUACCAGCUUAGGCCAGGAGGAGGCACUACAAAAAAAAAGA